rnacentral:rRNA from 1 species
UACGUAGGGGGCAAGCGUUGUCCGGAUUUAUUGGGCGUAAAGAGCGUGUAGGCGGUCAGGUAGGUCCGUUGUGAAAACUCGAGGCUCAACCUCGAGACGCCGAUGGAAACCAUCUGACUAGAGUCCGGAAGAGGAGAGUGGAAUUCCUGGUGUAGCGGUGAAAUGCGCAGAUAUCAGGAGGACCACCGGUGGCGAAGGCGGGUCUCUGGGCAAUAACUGACGCUGAGGAGCGAAAGCGUGGGGAGCGAACAGG